AACGAUGCCGACUAGUUGNUGGAAUUACAUUCUCAUAACGUAGCUAACGCGGAAGUCGGCCGCCGGGGAGUACGGUCGCAAGAUUAAAACUCAAAGGAAUGACGGGACCCGCACAAGCGGUGGAUGAUGUGGAUUAAUUCGAUGCAACGCGAAAAACCUUACCUACCCUUGACAUGUCACUAACGAAGUAGAGAUACAUUAGGUGCCCGUAAGGGAAAGUGAACACAGGUGCUGCAUGGCUGUCGUCAGCUCGUGUCGUGAGAUGUUGGGUUAAGUCCCGCAACGAGCGCAACCCUUGUCUUUAGUUGCUACGCAAGAGCACUCUAAAGAGACUGCCGGUGACAAACCGGAGGAAGGUGGGGAUGACGUCAAGUCCUCAUGGCCCUUAUGGGUAGGGCUUCACACGUCAUACAAUGGUGCAUACAGAGGGUUGCCAACCCGCGAGGGGGAGCUAAUCUCAGAAAAUGCAUCGUAGUCCGGAUCGUAGUCUGCAACUCGACUACGUGAAGCUGGAAUCGCUAGUAAUCGUGGAUCAGAAUGUCACGGUGAAUACGUUCCCGGGUCUUGUACACACCGCCCGUCACACCAUGGGAGCGGGUCUCGCCAGAAGUAGUUAGCCUAACCGCAAGGAGGGCGAUUACCACGGCGGGGUUCGUGACUGGGGUGAAGUCGUAACAAGGUAACCGUA
rnacentral:rRNA from 1 species